UUGGCCACAGAGGCUUCAGGAAACUCUGGUCUUUGGAAUGGAGACCUUAAGCUAGAGUUGUGUAUGUAAAUGGUUAUCAUGGCUGCCUAUCAACUCCUGGAGGCCAAAGCAGUAGAGUUUUUCAAAGAUCAUUGACAUUAGUUCAUCAGUAACAUAUGCCAUCUCUUCUGGGAUAUCACUCAUUUGGGCUCAGUGACCUGACCUCAAGGACAGCUAGGUCAAGGAGUCUAAUAUUGGUCCAAGUCAGGGGCUUACACUGAAGCCAUCCAUGGUGCAUUAAGUGAAGACCAGCACAAGAAUGCCAAGAAGGGAUCCUGACACAUUUCUACAUUCCAGCCCCGACAAAGGCACGCACGCCCACCCGGUUCGGACCGCAGGAGACGAC